CAUAUGCUUGUCUCAAAGAUUAAGCCAUGCAUGUCUGAGUACAGACCGAUCUAAGGUGAAACCGCGAAUGGCUCAUUAAAUCAGUCAUAAUUCCUUGGAUAGUGAAAAACUUUCCUCGGAUAACUGUGGAAAAUCCAGAGCUAAUACGUGCAACUGAGCUCCGACCACGACGCGAGUCGCGGGAAGAGCGCAUUUGUUAGAUUCAAAACUGACCGGUGUACUCCUUCGGGAUACGCCGUUUGUUAAAAUUUGAUGACUCAGGACAACUAAGUCGAGCGCUCCGGUCUUUAGUACCGGCGCCGUAUCUUUCAAGUGUCUGCCUUAUCAGCUUUCGAUUGUAGGUUAAACGCCUACAAUGGCUGUAACGGGUAACGGGGAAUCAGGGUUCGAUUCCGGAGAGGGAGCCUGAGAAACGGCUACCACAUCUAAGGAAGGCAGCAGGCACGCAAAUUACCCACUCCCAGCCCGGGGAGGUAGUGACGAAAAAUAACGAUGCGAGACUCUUCCGAGGCCUCGCAAUCGGAAUGAGUCCAGUUUAAAUCCUUGGACGAGGAUCCAUUGGAGGGCAAGUCUGGUGCCAGCAGCCGCGGUAAUUCCAGCUCCAAUAGCGUAUAUUAAAGUUGCUGCGGUUAAAAAGCUCGUAGUUGGACUUUCUAGAUCCAUUUCGUGGAUGAGUCGCUCUUUGUGCUAGCGUCUCGCGCGGUUCCUUGACCAAGUCAUCGCGAGCGUACUUCCCUUUUGGCUUCGGUCGAUCGAGAGGUUGCGAGCGCCGAUGUACCCAAUCUCGUGGACGGCGAGUCGUUGUCUUAGAGUAUAGCUCGUCCGCGUUUGGUACAAUUAAAAUUUUGUCGGCUCGCUCGGAGUGCUCUUUACCGAGUGUUCCAGGGUGGCUGACACGUUCACUUUGAAAAAAUUAGAGUGCUUAAAGCGGGCUUAUUUACGGCCUGAAUGUCUGUGCAUGGAAUGAAGUAACAGGACCUCGAUUCUGUUGUUUUUGUCGGUUUUAUUGAACCGAGGUAAUGAUUAAAAGGGACAGACGGUGGCAUUAGUAUUGCGGCGCUAGAGGUGAAAUUCUUGGACCGUCGCAAGACUAACUACUGCGAAAGCAUUUGCCGAGAAUGUUUUCAUUAAUCAAGAACGAAAGUUAGAGGAUCGAAGGCGAUCAGAUACCGCCCUAGUUCUAACCCUAAACUAUGCUAACUAGCGAUCCGCCGGAGUCAUUCCCACGACCCGGCGGGAAGCCCCAGGGAAACCAAAGUCUUUGAGUUCCGGGGGAAGUAUGGUUGCAAAGCUGAAACUUAAAGGAAUUGACGGAAGGGCACCACCAGGAGUGGAGCCUGCGGCUUAAUUUGACUCAACACGGGAAACCUCACCAGGCCCGGACAUCAGUAGGAUUGACAGGUUGAGAGCUCUUUCUCGAUUUGAUGGGUGGUGGUGCAUGGCCGUUCUUAGUUGGUGGAGUGAUCUGUCUGGUUGAUUCCGAUAACGAACGAGACUCUACCCUACUAACUAGUCGGCGGAUCGUAACCCUGAGAUGGUUAGUUUGUAUAGGAGAGUUUUGCCUAGGCGGAAUACGUCGUCGGUUUGAGAGCGCGGGGGUGUAUUAUGGUUCCUGAUCUUUACGGUGAUGGGUCGUAUUCCUUCCGUGUUUGAUGUCGGCGGCGCUCUGUCGAAGCUGCUUUCUGAUUACUGCUACUGCUGGGGGCGUCCGUCGCAAUGUAUCUUCUUAGAGGGAUCAGCGGCGUAUAGCCGCACGAGAAAGAGCAAUAACAGGUCUGUGAUGCCCUUAGAUGUUCUGGGCCGCACGCGCGCUACAAUGUAGGGCUCAGCGUGCUUCCCCUCUCCGAAAGGAGCGGGUAACCCGUUGAAACCCCUACCCGAUUGGGAUUGGGGAUUGCAAUUAUUUCCCAUAAACGAGGAAUUCCCAGUAAGCGCGAAUCAUUAAUUCGCGCUGAUUACGUCCCUGCCCUUUGUACACACCGCCCGUCGCUACUACCGAUUGAAUGAUUCAGUGAGGGCAUCGGACUGGCCCUUCGGUUUAGUAACCUAGACCUUAGGCUGACGGAAAGAUGUCCGAACUUGAUCAUUUAGAGGAAGUAAAAGUCGUAACAAGGUUUC
rnacentral:rRNA from 1 species